CCUACGGGUGGCAGCAGUAGGGAAUCUUCCACAAUGGGCGAAAGCCUGAUGGAGCAACGCCGCGUGGAUGAAGAAGGUCUUCUGAUCUUAAAACCCUGUUGUUCGAGAAGACAGUGCGUGAUAGUAACUGUUCACGUUUCGACUGUAUCUAACCAGAAAGCCACGGUUAAAUACGGGCCAGCAGCCUCGGUAAUACGUAGGUGGCAAGCGUUAGCCGGAUUUUUUGGGCGUAAAGGGAACGCAGGCGGUCUUUUAAGUCUGUUGUGAAAGCCUUCGGCUUAAACGGAGUAGUGCAUUGGAAACUGUGAGACUUGAGUGCAGAAGAGGAGAGUGGAACUCCAUGUGUAGCGGUGAAAUGCGUAGAUAUAUGGAAGAACACCAGUGGCGAAAGCGGCUCUCUGGGCUGUAACUGACGCUGAGGUUCGAAAGCGUGGGUAGCAAACAGGAUUAGAUACCCUUGUAGUC
rnacentral:rRNA from 1 species